GAUCUCCUGUAUUCUUUACAUUUGGAGGAAUCAACCAUGAAGGAGUUGGCCACGGUGUCAGCAUGUGAAGGCAGAGGAACUCCAGCUCAGAGAGAGGCUUCCCUGGAUCCACUUGCCUCAACGACCCUCUGAUGGAAUCCAGGCCUUACUCAGAAAGCACCCUGCGCUGGCAUUUCAUAAGUAAACAGAAGAAAUGUCCUACUUGCAAAACUCUGAAUAUAGCUGAAUCCCUCAAGGGCAUAGAGGUUUAAGCAUACAGAAGUCAAAGGCAACCUUUUUGUUCUGUGAAGGUGCUGCCAUUAGGCAGCUGAGGACCAGCUGUGGGACCAACAGUCUUGGGUUGGAGCCUUUUUGAGAUAAAGGAAAGACAAUACCUUGGACUUAAAUAAGCAAUUCUGCUUUCCAAGUGUUGGUAGGCAGAACAAUGAUCCCCCCAGAAUAUUCACAUUUUGACUCCUGGACUUGUGAAAAUGUUAUGUUAAAUGGCCAAUGGAAGAAAAGUUACAUAUGAAAUUAAGGUUCCUAAUUAACUGACUUUAAGGUAAGAAUAUUAUGCCUGAUUUACCUGUGGGCCCAAUGUAACUGCAAGGGCCCUUAAACAAGGAAGAGGGAAGCAGAAGUGCCAGAACCAGAGGGAUAGCAUCAUGAGAAGGAUUUAACUGGCCAUUGCUGGCUUUGAAGAUGUAAGAGGGUCAAGAGACAAGAAAUGUGAGUGACCUCUAGAAGCUGGAAAAGGCAAGUAAAUGGAUUCUCUCCGAGUGUCUGCAGAAAGAAAAGCAGCCUUUUCAUCAACUUGAUUGUCACUCUGUGAGACUGAUUUUGGACUUCUGACUUCCAGGACCCUAAGAUAACAAAUUUGUGUUGUUUUUAGAACAAAGUUCCUGGUAAUUUGUUACAUCAAUAAUAAGAAAUGGACACAUCAAGAAAAUUUAAAAAGGAGAAAAGAACAAAUAAAAAGAGUAACAUAAAGACUAGAUGAGCACAGGGAACUCGCAUGUGUGCACAUUCCACAAAAGAAGCUAUAACGUGAUUACAGAAAGGAAGUCAUAAUAAACAAAUAAAUGUAUAUUGGAAAUAUGGAAAGGAAUACAGAGAACAAUGCAAUAUAAGGACAGACAAAGGCAUCCAGCUAUGAUUUUUCUCUCUUUAGCAGUUUGAAAGACAGAAAAUAUUCUUUUCUUUUUUUCGGUUCUGCAGUUCUGAAUUUUGAAAACUUUGCAAAAAAUUAAGCAUUCAAUUCAAAUGCCAAAUAAGAAAACUUUUAGUGCAAAUUCAAAGAAAAAUAAAAAUAGGUAUCUCAUAGUUUCAACAUAUGUUCAAAUCUUUCAAAUUUGAGCGAGAUAGGCAAGGUGCUUUAGGUUCCUUCGCUUCUCUCACUUCAAGCUAUUUGUUAGUUAGAAUGUUUGAUUUUCUGAUCCUCUGCCCAGAAAAAUGUAUUGCCAGUGGAAAGUAUUGUCAAUAAACAACCAUAGAAUUCUGCUUUAAAUCGUUCUGAUGCUUAUAAGAAAAGACACGAAUUCAUUUUGCAGACAUGCUUUUUCUGUUCACAAUUGCAAUUGAAAAUUGCAGUGAGCUACUUAAAAGCAGAACCGUUGAAUGGAACUUGUCUUAUAACAGAACCAGUUUUAAAUGGACAAUUGUAUACCUUAGAGCUGUCACCAGCCUUUAGCCUUGUACACAGCAUACAUGUAAUCAGUUGCCAUCAUACAUUGAAGAUAGUUAAGAAUAGAGUUACUGAGCAUCUAUUGUCAUCACAAAAAUGUGAAAGCUACUAAGGCAAAUAUGUGAAUAUAAACACAAUCCCUGGCCUCAAGGUAUUUAAAGUAAAAUUGUUCUAACUACAAUAAAAUUCAG
rnacentral:lncRNA from 1 species